UACGUAGGGUGCGAGCGUUAAUCGGAAUUACUGGGCGUAAAGUGUGCGCAGGCGGCCGAGCAAGUCGAGUGUGAAAGCCCCGAGCUUAACUUGGGAACUGCGCUCGAAACUACUUGGCUAGAGUGUGGCAGAGGGAGGUGGAAUUCCACGUGUAGCGGUGAAAUGCGUAGAGGAUGAUGGAGGAACACCGAUGGCGAAGGCAGCCUCCUGGGCCAACACUGACGCUCAUGCACGAAAGCGUGGGGAGCAAACAGG
rnacentral:rRNA from 1 species